CAAGUUACCAUCACCUCUGCCGAUUCCCUGCUGUUUGAUUCAGCCUCUCCAGAGCCCAGACAACUGAACCCAAUUAGUGUUUGUGAUUUCAUCCUCAAGAACCUUCCCUUUUUCAACCGGCCACCUUUUCUUGCCUUCCAAACAAGCCUUUUUAUUCCUUUUAGACAGAAAACUUGGCACUAACAGCAAGGAGCCACUCCACGGGGAUUGGACUCCAUUUAUUUCAGUUUCGAACAAUCGCCUAUCCUCGGAUUCGCUAUUUCAGCUUGGAGAGUGUUUCCGGAUAGAGAGCUGAGAGGGAGGAGACUGGGGGUUUAUGGUGAUCAGGUCUGAUGAAUCAACUGUUUUGACUAAUCAUUCCACUGUUCAGAUUUCUUGAUUACCUGGUUUCCUUGUCUAACUGUUUCAACCUGUUGACGAUGCUCGACUCUUUGUUUCUCGACGUUACUCCGUCGGUGCAUGCACUGUGUUUCCUUUCUGAAUAUAAAGUUCUGAAUGGAAAUUUUGAGGAAAUUAGGGUUUCCAAUGAUGAGAUUGGAUCUGUAACUGUUGGAACCUAUGGUCAAAUUCUUGAAUUGCUAUUUCGAGAUACCCUAAUUCCCUGUUUUCGGUAUAAAGAUAAAGAUAACAAUUUUCAGUUCAGUUUCAAAGCAAAGGUCUACAUUUAAUCUCUGUUUUGAUCUUCUUUAGCUAUGGAUGUUGACGAGCAUGGUAACAAACGGGUGUUUCAACGACUUGGGGCUUCGAAUGAUAGUGGCAAACAACAAAAGGUUUGUUACCAUUGGAGGGCAGGCAGGUGAAACAAGUUCCCCUGUCCGUACCUACACAGAGAAUUACCAGCUCCUCCUCCCGAAGAAUACCAACCAGUCAUAAGCAAUGGAUCAUCGUCCAAACGGCCGAAUCAAGGAGUACAUGACGAUCGCAGCUUUUCUGGUGCACGAAGAAGCCCUAAUUUUAAUCCUGCGUGGGGGCGAGUUCAUGGCGGUGGUGCAGGCAAUAGAGCUCAAGGUAGUGGCGCGGGCAAUAGAGAUUGAGAAGCUUUGUAAUUAUUGGCUUCAAGGAAAUUGUAGUUAUGGGGAUAAGUGCAAUUUUUUGCAUUCUUGGAGUAUUGGUGAUUGUUUCUCGAGUUUGACACUGCUUGAAGGGCAUUAGAAAGUCGUCAGUGGGAUUGCUUAGCCAUCUGGGUCUGAUAAGCUAUAUACUGGGAGCAAAGAUGAGACUCUGAGGAUUUGGGACCGUCAAUCUGGUCAGUCCACUGGUGUGGUUAAUCUUGGUGGAGAAGUUGGCUGUAUGAUUAGUGAGGGCCCAUGGUUGUUUGUGGGUAUACCAAAU